rnacentral:tRNA from 1 species
GAACUUAUAUUUAAAAUCUCAUAAAAUUUAAUUUGCAAUUAAAAAUUGUUAAAAAACUAAGUCCA